GAUCAUGGCUCAGGAUNAACGCUGGCGGCGUGCUUAACACAUGCAAGUCGAACGAAGAUGCCGGAGUGCUUGCACUUUGGCAGACUGAGUGGCGGACGGUGAGUAACGCGUGGGUAACCUGCCUUAUACAGGGGGAUAACAGUUGGAAACGACUGCUAAUACCGCAUAAGCGCACGGUAUCGCAUGAUACAGUGUGAAAAACUCCGGUGGUAUAAGAUGGACCCGCGUCUGAUUAGCUUGUUGGUGAGGUAACGGCCCACCAAGGCGACGAUCAGUAGCCGGCCUGAGAGGGUGAACGGCCACAUUGGGACUGAGACACGGCCCAAACUCCUACGGGAGGCAGCAGUGGGGAAUAUUGCACAAUGGGGGAAACCCUGAUGCAGCGACGCCGCGUGAGUGAUGAAGUAUUUCGGUAUGUAAAACUCUAUCAGCAGGGAAGAUAAUGACGGUACCUGACUAAGAAGCACCGGCUAAAUACGUG
rnacentral:rRNA from 1 species